GGCAGAGGCCACUCGCUCAGCUCAAAGUAGCACAGUUUGUGUGUUCCUCCAUGUCCUCUCACAAACCCCUACUUAGUUCAUAUGAACAAGGAAUGAAAGAGAAGCCCUCCACAGUCCAGGGUUGGCCUCCUCCAGGGCGUAGUCCUCAGGAUCGGUGUGUGGAUCUACAGGCUUCACGGGGGAGCGGUGUAUCAGAGAUAAAUAGUUGCAUUUAAGGAAGGAAGUGGAAACAGCAAUUCCAGCAUCAGGAAGGAGGUAGAAGCAGAAGAAUAACAAGGUGGAGACCAACCAGGUCUAUAGAGAGAAAUUUUGUUAUAAAUAAAGGAAGA